UAAACAUGUAAUCAUCAUUCAAGCCACUAUCUAAUACAGCAUGUUGGGAUGGAAGGAUUUUGUUUCACUCAGGCAUUCCCAGUUCCACCUUCCUUUCAUUUUGUGGAUUAGUCCUCCUGUAGGCCUUGCACAGGUGAAGAUCCUGGCUGUAUCUACUUAAGUCGACAGGCAACGGGGAGCUUUCGAAUAUUUGUGUGCAGAAGGCUGGAGGUCACAGAUGUAUGAUAUACUUAGUAAGUGCUGGGAGAAGAAAGAAAGGAGAUCUAUCAGAAAGGAGCGAACAAGGGAAGGAGGAAACAGAUCUACUCCACUACGCUAGCACGCAGAGGAGGAUGGAGAACGCAUCCAGGGAUUUAUUGCCCAAAAUGAUGCUCAAGACCCCUCACAUCAGCAGAAGAACAAAACGUAGGUGGUACAGACUGGACAUAAUUGUCAAGAGGAAGAAAGAAGAGAAGGAAUAGAAUCAAACCAGAGAGGUAAGUGAUAGUGAAAAACAAGAGACAAAGAGAUUUAGAAAGCAGAAGGUGAGUAGCGCUGAGCUCCAACUAGGAAGCAUCAUCCAUAGUCCAAGAACCUCAGGCUAGAUUAGAGACAGUGCUAUAACCCUAAGUGCCCUAGAGGGCUCCCUAGCUUUCCUUCCCUCCAGGUAAUAGAAUAAAGCUUUUUUUUUUUUCUGUGUAGAGCUCUAGUUUUCGUUAUAUUAUCAACUACUUUAGGGAAACACUUGGAGACAGGCAUCAUGUGGUACUUAUAAUUCAGAUGUUGGAAAGUCCAGCGACGGCCCAACUUAUACUGAAUUUCUCAGAAGAGGAAUAAUUUAUUGUAAGAUUUUUGUUUAAUUUUCAGAGAGGCCUAUAAAUAUGAGAAAUAUUUGAUAAUAGAAUUGUAGAAUUGGAAGGGAAAUUUACUACAACAGCCGUUUAUAUUACAGAUAAAUUGACCGAGGUCCAGAAGUGUCCAGAAGUACCUAUAACUAUUUAGUUAUAGGUACUUCUAAAACUCAAGUCUCCAAACCCCAAUCUCAGUGUUUUUCUUGUAGCAAACAAGUUUCAUCCUCAAAUUUGCAUUCUUGAACACAUGUUUUCGCGUCCGUCAAGUACACAAACAUGAAUUCUUGCUCAACCAUCCAAUUAUCUAAUCUGCUCCCUUUACUCAGGAUAAAGACUUGCUGGCAGAGGCUAUGAGGGUCUGCUCAAUGCUCAUGUCAGUCAUUCUACAGUAGCUUCAGCUGCCUCAAACUUACAAGUGACAGUCUGUAAUACAGCACUGUUCAAACCCACCAGAGAAAUGACGCAUUAAGGAUGCAAACUGGAAUGACAACAUGAAAUUACAGUUAACAUUUAGUGACUAUAUAUGCAUAUUACAAUAACUCAGUAUUUCAAAAGUAGGUGUUUAUCUGAUGUUUCUGUCAUGUUAAUAAACAAU
rnacentral:lncRNA from 1 species